rfam:Novosphingobium tardaugens NBRC 16725 DNA, contig: NT219.
GAGGGUAGGCCCCUCGAAGCUGACCGUCAGGGGCAGGCUUCAAACCACUGCAAGCUGCGAUGGUAAAGAGCCGUGGUGGUGAGCGUUGGCGCUGAUCUUGAGCGAAGUGAGAUCGGU